CUAAUACCGCAUAAGCGCACAGGACCGCAUGGUCUAGUGUGAAAAACUCCGGUGGUGUGAGAUGGACCCGCGUUUGAUUAGCUAGUUGGUGGGGUAACGGCCUACCAAGGCGACGAUCAAUAGCCGGCCUGAGAGGGUGACCGGCCACAUUGGGACUGAGACACGGCCCAAACUCCUACGGGAGGCAGCAGUGGGGAAUAUUGCACAAUGGGGGAAACCCUGAUGCAGCGACGCCGCGUGAGUGAAGAAGUAUUUCGGUAUGUAAAGCUCUAUCAGCAGGGAAGAAAAUGACGGUACCUGACUAAGAAGCCCCGGCUAACUACGUGCCAGCAGCCGCGGUAAUACGUAGGGGGCAAGCGUUAUCCGGAUUUACUGGGUGUAAAGGGAGCGUAGACGGUAAAGCAAGUCUGAAGUGAAAGCCCGGGGCUCAACCCCGGGACUGCUUUGGAAACUGUUUAACUAGAGUGCUGGAGAGGUAAGCGGAAUUCCUAGUGUAGCGGUGAAAUGCGUAGAUAUUAGGAGGAACACCAGUGGCGAAGGCGGCUUACUGGACAGUAACUGACGUUGAGGCUCGAAAGCGUGGGGAGCAAACAGGAUUAGAUACCCUGGUAGUCCACGCCGUAAAC
rnacentral:rRNA from 1 species